UUAAUUAAAAAAUUGUUAACAACUCCUUAAGCAACCAUGGAAAAAAAUUUAAGCACCCCUAAUGAGUUGUUAGGGUUAAUGAUGUUUUUUUAUUAACGCUGAUUUAUUAUGAUCUUACAAUUAUGAUAUAGGAAAUAUUAUAUAGACGAUUCGACAACCGACAAUACUACCUACCUUAUGAAGACCUACGCCUAACUGCAUCACCUGAGCCGUCCUAUGAAGAUCCACGCCUGGCCAGAUUUACUUGCACCAUGUUGAAGAUCCUUUGCAAGCAUUUUCUUUGUAGUCUGCAUAAUUGUUUAAUAAACUGCUCUCUCCGGGACUUGAAACCUAGAUUUUCUGUAAUUUGCAAUAAAUUGUAUGGUCUGAGAUUCAAACUCCAGACCGGAUGUAGAAGCUUUUAAAUCUUAACCAAUAGGCUACGAUAACCUUAAGAGCAUCAAUAACGCGGUCUUCUGAGGCCGUCUCUUAGUAUUAUUGGCAUUAAAAAAAGAAAAUUAGAUUAAAUGCAAAGUAACGUUUCUUAUUUAGGGGCUACAAGAGACGUAUUCUGAGCCACGUGUUGCUCUCUGGGCUUUCAUCUCUUUGAGAAGAGAGAGAGAGUUGAAGCGAUAUCAUCCAUGGUGGAAGGGAAGCAGAGCUUCAGGCAGAUUAACGAGAUCGGUUAGCACCUUUUCAUCGAUUAAGUUCCCUCGAUCUCUCGAACUACGAUCGGUUUGAUUUGAUCCGUCAUUGUUGAAACCAUGGGUAAUUGUUGCGGGCCGGCGAGAUCGUCACGGUUUUUCUCUUUGUUUAUCUCCAGAUUGGUCUAUAGAUGUUCUAUGUCUUAGUUUAAGCUCGUGUGCUGCUCCUUCUUCCUCGUCCCUUGCCGUAAAACCCUUCAAAGGUUUCCACUUUUUUUGUUUCAUCUCUUACUUCUUCGUCUUUACCUUAUUAUCCAUUAAUCUGCUCUGUUCUGUAAUUUGUUUUAGUGGUGUUUUGAUUUUCAAGUUAGCUAAUGGGUUUCAUGAAAGAUGAUAGCUUUGUUCAUGUCUUCAGUAAAGUUUUAAUCUUUCUUCUUCUUCUUCUUGGUGUCUUUGUUUGAUGAUUUAGUUUGUUGAGAUUUUACUUGAUUGUUGACUAAUCUGCUCUGUUUCAUUGCAUUUAGGCUCAUUUUUCUCUUGUGGUUUUGGUUUUCAAGCUCGCUAAUGGGCUCCAGAGGACACACUAAAUUCUGAGCGUUAUGAGCGGUAUGAGUUACUGGAGCCAAUUACCAAAGAAACGUUUCAGAUGAAGAUAAGCAGCUUGAAGUGAAGAAGGAAGUAGUAGUUGAUGUGAAGCAAUAUUCAGGUGUUGAGCUAAUUAUCAAGUCUGGUUUUGGUUCUACUCUGCCUUCAAAAGAUGAUUUGAUUAGAACAUAUGAAAAAUUUGGAGCUUUGGACAAAGAGAGAAGCUGUACGUUCGAGAAUGACUCUUGUGCUCGCGUUAGCUUCUUGAAUGUAUCUGAAGGAGAAGGAGCCUUUUACGAGUCACUAGAGAAAUGCCCGUUUGCUACUACUUCCACCGUUACAUUCAGCUCAAGUAUCCUUCUUCUGAGAACAGAAAGGGGGUGAUGGAAAUGGAGUGGUUGAAAAAGAAGCUUGAAGAGAGCUUUGCUUGAUGAAUCAGAGGGAGGAGAGGUUAAGGAAAAGUUGAAGAUGAGACUUGAGGAAGAAUCAAGAAACUUGCUAGACAAGGUGUAUGAUAAUCAAUAAGUAACUCAUAGACGAGAACACCAUUACUGGUAAUUUUAUGGGGGAUUCUUCUUCUCCGUUUAUUUUUGUUCUCUUCCUCUCUAUGUUGUAUUUCUAUCUAUAUUUUUGCAUCAGUAGUGAUUCAACUAACAAAAAGAGACGACUCUGUUUAUCUAGAAACUGAUCAUCCCUUUUGAAAAAGGUAAUUCUUUUUUUUUAUAAAGUUACAUCACUUAUCAAGAAUAUAAUAUAAGAUGUGUAUGCUAAUCAAGUGUAAUUUAUUUAUUGUGCGUGAUCCUCUUCGGUACGUCUGAGAGCCAAAGAUAAUCUCAAAGCUUUUUUAAAACUUUGAAACUCAUUGACGUUGUCCUAUCAAUUAUAUAACUAGAUUCUGACCCGCGCUUAAAAAGCGCGGGUAUUUUUUGGUUGACCGUAAAGCUAAAUAUUAUUUAAAUUUAAACUUACUAUUAUAUAUCUAUAAUAUUUAAAAGCUGUUAUAUUAUUAUUAUUUUCAUCUGCUCGGUCUUGUACAAUAUUUUCAUUGAAUUUUCAUAUCCGAGUCAGACUUGUAGUCGAACCGAUGGAUCUAUUUACUCGUAUAUAAGUGAGGGUAGGAUAUAAUAAAACGAACAUGGUAAAAAUACCUCACAAUAAUAUUAAUCUUUUUGAGACAAUUGUUUUAUUAGUAGAAAUCUAUAAUAUAAAAUAAAUGAUCUGUUUACAUUUAUUAUUUUUUUCAAUUCUGUUUACAUGUAUUUAUGUAUUAAUUGGUGUUCAAAAUAUUGUAUUUUUUUAAAGAAGUAAUUGAAAGUGGGUCUGAAGUUAAAUGGGAUUAAAAUUGUUUUUAACUUAAAUGGGUUUAGUAGUAAAAAUCGAUUUGUUAAGUUAAGGGCCCAAGCCCAUCAAAAAAUUUGUACCUGCCGACAAGAAAGGAUUAAGAUCGUCUCUUGUUUUGACAGAUUGAAACUCUAAAAAAAAAAUUCGGAGAUGGCGAUUCCCGUCCACUCGUUCCUCUCGGAUUUGAUCUGGUGUUGGGUCCAUGUGAUUUCCGAUGACUUCCGAGUACAAAUCGGUCAGAUUGUAAUACUGAAACAAUACCCGACAAACAUAUGUUUGAAAGUGUUCAGCUGAUGCUCAGUAAUGGGACCUUGGUGGACCUUAGGCUAUGAAGAGGUAUUGACAUGAAGUGUGGCUAAGAAUAUGAGAAUCAACAGAAUAAAAUUGUAAGAUAUAUACAAAAGAAUAUUAAGAAGAGAACCUUUUAUUCAAGAAUGAGCAUAUUAAUCCUCAUGAAUUCACCAGUUUUCUUAACGUUGUGAGCAUCCCAUAACGAAGAAGACGUGCCACCACCGACUGAGGGCCACGGCCGAACUUCAAAUAAGCGAACAUAUGUGAUGUCACAAUUGUUGCAUGUUAUGAUUGUAAGGCAAAAAAAAAGAAGGAUUUGUUUGAAGCAACCGAGAUUUGAAUCGUUCAUUGAAUUGCAUCUUUCAGUAAUAUAUACGAGCUUAUGAUCUGUGAUUUUAAAAUGUGAAAUUACUUUUAUAAAAAUCAUUCUUUCAGUAAAACAUAUAUUUGAUUUGAUUUUUUUUA